GGGUUGUGAGGUUAAGCGACUAAGCGUACACGGUGGAUGCCCUGGCAGUCAGAGGCGAUGAAGGGCGUGCUAAUCUGCGAUAAGCGCCGGUAAGGUGAUAUGAACCGUUAUAACCGGCGAUACCCGAAUGGGGAAACCCAGUGUGACUCGUCACACUAUCAUUAACUGAAUCCAUAGGUUAAUGAGGCGAACCGGGGGAACUGAAACAUCUAAGUACCCCGAGGAAAAGAAAUCAACCGAGAUUCCCCCAGUAGCGGCGAGCGAACGGGGAGGAGCCCAGAGCCUGAAUCAGCAUGUGUGUUAGUGGAAGCGUCUGGAAAGGCGCGCGAUACAGGGUGACAGCCCCGUACACAAAAGCGCAUGUGCUGUGAGCUCGAUGAGUAGGGCGGGACACGUGGUAUCCUGUCUGAAUAUGGGGGGACCAUCCUCCAAGGCUAAAUACUCCUGACUGACCGAUAGUGAACCAGUACCGUGAGGGAAAGGCGAAAAGAACCCCGGCGAGGGGAGUGAAAAAGAACCUGAAACCGUGUACGUACAAGCAGUGGGAGCCCCACCACCAAAGCAUUCUCUGGUGUUGAAGGCCCUGCAAAGCAGCAUCGCGGUGGCGGAGCGUCGUUUGCGACGCCCAACACACAAAACAAGCGGUGAAUGCUUUGGGGUGGGGUGACUGCGUACCUUUUGUAUAAUGGGUCAGCGACUUAUAUUCUGUAGCAAGGUUAACCGAAUAGGGGAGCCGGAGGGAAACCGAGUCUUAAUUGGGCGUUAAGUUGCAGGGUAUAGACCCGAAACCCGGUGAUCUAGCCAUGGGCAGGUUGAAGGUUGGGUAACACUAACUGGAGGACCGAACCGACUAAUGUUGAAAAAUUAGCGGAUGACCUGUGGCUGGGGGUGAAAGGCCAAUCAAACCGGGAGAUAGCUGGUUCUCCCCGAAAGCUAUUUAGGUAGCGCCUCGUGAAUUCAUCUCCGGGGGUAGAGCACUGUUUCGGCUAGGGGGCCAUCCCGGCUUACCAACCCGAUGCAAACUGCGAAUACCGGAGAAUGUUAUCACGGGAGACACACGGCGGGUGCUAACGUCCGUCGUGAAGAGGGAAACAACCCAGACCGCCAGCUAAGGUCCCAAAGUCAUGGUUAAGUGGGAAACGAUGUGGGAAGGCCCAGACAGCCAGGAUGUUGGCUUAGAAGCAGCCAUCAUUUAAAGAAAGCGUAAUAGCUCACUGGUCGAGUCGGCCUGCGCGGAAGAUGUAACGGGGCUAAACCAUGCACCGAAGCUGCGGCAGCGAACGUAUCACCCAAGACAACUUUACGGAGUUGACGAUUGACGGAGCGAAGCGACGUCAAAGCGUUCAUUAAAGUCGAGUUGGCUUAGGGAUACGUUCGUUGGGUAGGGGAGCGUUCUGUAAGCCUGUGAAGGUGUGUCGUGAGGCAUGCUGGAGGUAUCAGAAGUGCGAAUGCUGACAUAAGUAACGAUAAAGCGGGUGAAAAGCCCGCUCGCCGGAAGACCAAGGGUUCCUGUCCAACGUUAAUCGGGGCAGGGUGAGUCGACCCCUAAGGCGAGGCCGAAAGGCGUAGUCGAUGGGAAACGGGUUAAUAUUCCCGUACUUGGUGUUACUGCGAAGGGGGGACGGAGAAGGCUAUGUUGGCCGGGCGACGGUUGUCCCGGUUUAAGCGUGUAGGUGUGUGUUCCAGGUAAAUCCGGUUCACUUUAACACUGAGGCGUGAUGACGAGGCACUACGGUGCUGAAGCAACAAAUGCCCUGCUUCCAGGAAAAGCCUCUAAGCAUCAGGUAACAUCAAAUCGUACCCCAAACCGACACAGGUGGUCAGGUAGAGAAUACCAAGGCGCUUGAGAGAACUCGGGUGAAGGAACUAGGCAAAAUGGUGCCGUAACUUCGGGAGAAGGCACGCUGACACGUAGGUGAAGUGAUUUACUCACGGAGCUGAAGUCAGUCGAAGAUACCAGCUGGCUGCAACUGUUUAUUAAAAACACAGCACUGUGCAAACACGAAAGUGGACGUAUACGGUGUGACGCCUGCCCGGUGCCGGAAGGUUAAUUGAUGGGGUCAGCGCAAGCGAAGCUCCUGAUCGAAGCCCCGGUAAACGGCGGCCGUAACUAUAACGGUCCUAAGGUAGCGAAAUUCCUUGUCGGGUAAGUUCCGACCUGCACGAAUGGCGUAAUGAUGGCCAGGCUGUCUCCACCCGAGACUCAGUGAAAUUGAACUCGCUGUGAAGAUGCAGUGUACCCGCGGCAAGACGGAAAGACCCCGUGAACCUUUACUAUAGCUUGACACUGAACAUUGAGCCUUGAUGUGUAGGAUAGGUGGGAGGCUUUGAAGUGUGGACGCCAGUCUGCAUGGAGCCGACCUUGAAAUACCACCCUUUAAUGUUUGAUGUUCUAACGUGGACCCGUAAUCCGGGUUGCGGACAGUGUCUGGUGGGUAGUUUGACUGGGGCGGUCUCCUCCUAAAGAGUAACGGAGGAGCACGAAGGUUGGCUAAUCCUGGUCGGACAUCAGGAGGUUAGUGCAAUGGCAUAAGCCAGCUUGACUGCGAGCGUGACGGCGCGAGCAGGUGCGAAAGCAGGUCAUAGUGAUCCGGUGGUUCUGAAUGGAAGGGCCAUCGCUCAACGGAUAAAAGGUACUCCGGGGAUAACAGGCUGAUACCGCCCAAGAGUUCAUAUCGACGGCGGUGUUUGGCACCUCGAUGUCGGCUCAUCACAUCCUGGGGCUGAAGUAGGUCCCAAGGGUAUGGCUGUUCGCCAUUUAAAGUGGUACGCGAGCUGGGUUUAGAACGUCGUGAGACAGUUCGGUCCCUAUCUGCCGUGGGCGCUGGAGAACUGAGGGGGGCUGCUCCUAGUACGAGAGGACCGGAGUGGACGCAUCACUGGUGUUCGGGUUGUCAUGCCAAUGGCACUGCCCGGUAGCUAAAUGCGGAAGAGAUAAGUGCUGAAAGCAUCUAAGCACGAAACUUGCCCCGAGAUGAGUUCUCCCUGAGACUUUAGGUCUCCUGAAGGAACGUUGAAGACGACGACGUUGAUAGGCCGGGUGUGUAAGCGCAGCGAUGCGUUGAGCUAACCGGUACUAAUGAACCGUGAGGCUUAACCUUACAACGCCGAAG
rnacentral:rRNA from 1 species